UUGGCUAAGCCUUGAACGUUGUGUGACCAGGAUCCUGAGGCUGUAUGAACCUCUGGCCAGCUACUACAAAUCUGCUAAUGAAAAUCAGGCCAGGUUCAAGAGACUUGUGCAGACAUUCACUGACCCCAUGACAGAAGUGUACCUGCUGUUCUUCCAAGCCACCGUACCAACUUUCACUUCUUUCAACUUGCUGCUUCAGAGAGAGCAGUCAUCAAUAUUUUUGUUGCAUGAUGAGAUGGUGAAAUUCGUAUGCAAGCUAUGUUCCAAGUUUAUGGUUCCAGCAGCUCUGCAGUGCCAUGAGGAGCCUUGUGAAAUUG